UACGUAGGGUCCGAGCGUUGUCCGGAUUUAUUGGGCGUAAAGAGCUCGUAGGCGGUUCCGUAAGUCAGAUGUGAAAACUCAGGGCUCAACCCGGAGACGCCAUCUGAUACUGCGGUGACUGGAGUCUGGUAGGGGAACACGGAAUUCCUGGUGUAGCGGUGAAAUGCGCAGAUAUCAGGAGGAACACCGAUGGCGAAGGCAGUGUUCUGGGCCAGUACUGACGCUGAGGAGCGAAAGCGUGGGGAGCGAACGGG
rnacentral:rRNA from 1 species